UACAGAGGUCUCAAGCGUUGUUCGGAUUCAUUGGGCGUAAAGGGUGCGUAGGCGGCGCGGUAAGUCGGGUGUGAAAUCUCGGAGCUUAACUCCGAAACUGCAUUCGAUACUGCCGUGCUUGAGGACUGGAGAGGAGACUGGAAUUCAUGGUGUAGCAGUGAAAUGCGUAGAGAUCAUGAGGAAGACCAGUGGCGAAGGCGGGUCUCUGGACAGUUCCUGACACUGAGGCACGAAGGCCAGGGGAGCAAACGGG
rnacentral:rRNA from 1 species